AGUAAAUCAUCUGUACCGUCUGUGGUGUUGAGUAUGCCAUCCGUGGCAUCAUUGUUACAGACUGCAAGAGCAAUGGCUGAAUGUUAAGACCCGUCCUCAGAACUGCAGACCAUAGGUCAUUUCCAGCCUACGGCUCUCGUGCGUGACCAGCUCCAUUCCGCUGAACCUGCCCGUCUAUGUCGCCUUUAUCUGAUGGUAUCAUAGAACCGCACAGAUGCCAGAGGUGUGCUCGAUGAAAAGCCGUAGUCUGCAUUCGUGUCUACCGGUCAAGAAUGAGGACGUUAUCGGAGGUAGUGCUUGUUUAUGGCUGUAAAAGAAGACCUUCCCGUAAAAUAAAU